GAUGAAGAACGUAGCGAAAUGCGAUAAGUAGUGUGAAUUGCAGAAUUCAGUGAAUCAUCGAAUCUUUGAACGCACAUUGCGCCCCUUGGUAUUCCGAGGGGCAUGCCUGUUCGAGCGUCAUUAUAACCCCUCAAGCUCAGCUUGGUAUUGGGGCCUGCCAUCCUGGCAGCCCUUAAAAUCAGUGGCGGUGCCAUCCGGCUCUAAGCGUAGUAACUCCUCUCGCUAUGGAGUCCUGGUGGAUGCUUUGCCAUUAAUCUUUUAACUUCUAUGGUUGACCUCGGAUCAGGUAGGGAUACCCGCUGAACUUAAGCAUAUCAAUUAAGCGGAGGA
rnacentral:misc_RNA from 1 species